rnacentral:rRNA from 1 species
AUGGCUCAGAACGAACGCUGGCGGCAGGUCUUAGGCAUGCAAGUCGAACGGAUGACAAGAGAGCUUGCUCUCUUGAAGUCAGUGGCGCACGAGUGAGUAACGCGUGGGAAACUGCCCUUCACUGGGGAAUAACGUUUGGAAACGAACGCUAAUACCGCAUACGCCCGCAAGGGGAAAGAUUUAUCGGUGAUGGAUGUGCCCGCGUUGGAUUAGCUAGUUGGUGGGGUAAUGGCCUACCAAGGCGAUGAUCCAUAGCUGGUCUGAGAGGACGAUCAGCCACGCUGGAACUGAGACACGGUCCAGACUCCUACGGGAGGCAGCAGCUAAGAAUAUUGGGCAAUGGAGGAAACUCUGACCCAGCCAAUGCCGCGUGAACGAAGAAGUAUCUCGGUAUGUAAAGUUCUAUCAGCAGGGAAGAUAAUGACGGUACCUGACUAAGAAGCACCGGCUAAAUACGUGCCAGCCGCAGC